CCUGGCAGUUGAAGCAGAGUGUGCGAAAUUAACCACUUUGCCACUAGGCUGGCCCCUGUUUUUCCUUUGAAUGUACUGGAUCUUUGAAUUCCAGAGUGUAUUUUGUGCCUGCAGCAUCUCCAGGUUAGGAGGAGCCACAUUUCAAGUGCGCCACCGCCCAGGUCUAGAGCUGCGUCUUCCCCUCCGCGCUACAGGCUCCCUCGUGUGCCCAGACCCAAGAACGAGUGUCUGCAUCCGUACCCGCCUCCUCCACCCGUCCCGCCGCAGGCCGGGUCAGGGCCCUCCUCCUUAUGCAUGCGUACAGCAUCUUCACAGUCCAGCACAAUUAUUAUUAUUAAAUUAUUUGUUUCUAGUAGAUUGAAAGCUUCAGGGGUGCAGGGAUUUUUUUCAUACUGUGUCUUCCCGAGUGAUAAAUAUUGUUGAACAAAUGAAUGAAUAAAAAUAAGUGAAUGAGACAGUUCUUGCCCUCAAGGGCUCCUACCUCCAAAAUAUUGUGCCCAUUCAGAACGGUUGAUCUGCUAUCCUGCCUCCCUUCCUUCCCCUUUUCCUGCCUCCUACCUCCUCCUCUUCUCCCGUCCUCCCUUCCUCCACACCGCCCCUCCUCCCCUCCCCCUCCCCCCUUCAUGAGAUGUCCCUGAGUUUAGUGGGGAUCAGCUGUGAGGUAUGCUCUAAGAGAUCAGUUACUCUUAAUAAAGUCCUACAUUUUUGAAUUACAUGUAUCCCUAUGCUGUGAAAUACCUGGAAGGGCAUGUGGACAGAGGCUGUGGCCAUGAGGAACCCAGUGUUACUCACAGCUGACCAUGAACAUGCUUAAGGCUGGAGGAAGGGGCAAAAUACGCCUUCAGCCCUGGCAAGAUCAGCCUCAGGGUGGCGCUUGGCAUCUUUACCCUCGAACUUUCUCAUUCCUUCCUUUCCUGCCCACCCCUCUACCCCCAGCAUCCUCCCUCCCACGUAUCCCAUGGAGGUCCAAGGCUCUAAGACUGUUCCUGAACCCAUUCCGGAAGGGGCCAUGGUUUACCCAGGAGUGUCUAGACCAGCGCUUCUCACAUUUUAAUGUGUACACACGUCAUCCAGAGGAUCCUAGGAAAAUGCAGAUUCUGAUUUAACGGAUCUGGGAGGGGCCCGAGAGUCUGCAUUUCUGACACGCUCCCAGGUUGAUGCUGAUGCUGCUGGUCCAGGGACCACAUGUCGAGUAGCAGAGAUCUAGAAGGAGGACACGCCUUUCUUCUGCUAAUAUGGAUGGUCUCUUACAGCGAAAUGUUGGUGCAUAACUGUACUGACAGGCCUUUUCCACCAGGACUGAAGAUGAGGAGGAAGGAAAGGAGGAGACAGAGAGCCCAUCCUGCCCUGUACUUACUGAAAAAAAUACCCUCAAAGGCAACAGAGUCAGGGCUGUGUCUGAUCCAGCCACUCACAGGCGCCUGCACUCAGCUCCAUCUCCCCAGGAGAAGCAGGUGGGCUGCAGCGAGAGCUGGUGUGCUGGGGCCGCCUACACUCUUGGCCUGUCCGAGACAGGAUCUGGCCCAAGUGCGUCAGGGAGGGUAAAGGAAGUGAGAGCUGAAACAGCUUCCACUCUGGACAGGCCACUGAGGCCGACCCACGGCUCUUGAAGGUGACGGGACCUCCUGCUGGUGUUCGUGCAUGGAGAAUGAGGCCUUCACCCCAAAGACGGGAAGGGAGGGAGGAGCAAAGGAGAAUAUGGACAAAGAGGACUUCAAAGCCGCUCUGAAAAAUAGAAACUGAAGCCCCCACUCCACGCAGGCCCACUCUCCCCCUCAGAGGCCUCGCCAGCACUGAGGUCGACACCACCUGACUUCACACCCUUUUCCUCCACGCCCCAGCGUCAAGUCAAGCAGAGCCGGGCAGGAGGAGAGAAGUGAGUGCUGCUGGUUCACAGAGAGCCUCCAGAUUCCACGCUGCGGUGAUGAAUAAUGUACAAAUCCCAGAAAACAGAGCUCCGGGGAGUCUGGGCCUCUUAUCCCCUCGAUGUGAGAAAGGGGAGCAGGGCGCCUAGCCUGCUGGAUCUGCGGAGAUGCGAUGGGGCUUCCAGGGCUGGGCCAGUCUGUUAGCCAGCCAGGUGGCCUGCCAGGCUGCAUAGGCCUCCCUGAAACCAGGCCUCAGGCUGGCAAGGAUGUCCUGGACCCACAAUCUGGCCAUGAGGUGUCUGUCUCUGGCUAUCAUUAAUCCACUUCUCCCCUCCUGGCCCUCAAAAUCCCACUUUUGAAAAAAGAGAACAUUAAAAGAACAGUAAUGUCA